UAAUACGUAGGAGGCGAGCGUUAUCCGGAUUUACUGGGCGUAAGGAGGGCGUAGGCGGUUUUUCAAGUCGGAUGUAAAAGUUUUCAGCUUAACUGAGAAAAGUCAUUCGAUACUGUUAAGCUAGAGGGCAGCAGAGGGAGGCGGAAUUCCCGGUGUAGUGGUGAAAUGCGUAGAUAUCGGGAGGAACACCAGUGGCGAAGGCGGCCUUCUGGGCUGUUUCUGACGCUGAAGCCCGAAAGCGUGGGGAGCAAACAGGAUUAGAUACCCUGGUAGUCCACGCCGUAAACGAUGGACACUAGUUAUGGGGAGUAUCGACCCUCUCCGUGACGGAGCUAACGCAUUAAGUGUCCCGCCUGGGGAGUACGGUCGCAAGGCUA
rnacentral:rRNA from 1 species